AAUCAAAUGGUUUAGUGGUAAAAUUCUCCGUUGCCAUCGGGGAGCCCUGGGUUCGAUUCCCAGAUUA
rnacentral:tRNA from 1 species